rnacentral:rRNA from 1 species
UUUAAAAAGAGUUUGAUCCUGGCUCAGGAUAAACGCUAGCGUCAAGCUUUACACAUGCAAGUCGAGGGGUAAUAUUUUUAUAAUUUUUAAAUUUUAAAUUUAUUUAAUUUUUAAUUUUUAUAAGAAUAACGACCGGCGAACGGGUGAGUAAUACUUAUGUAAUUUACCUUUUGUUAAAGAAUAUCUUAAGUAAAAUUAAGUUAAUACUUUAUAAUAUAAUUGAUUAAUUAAGAUUAAUUAUAAAAGAUUUUUAAACAAAAAUUUAAAUUUCGACAAAAGAUAAGCAUUUGUCUGAUUAGUUUGUUGGUAAGGUAAAGGCUUACCAAGACUACGAUCAGUAGGGGGCCUAAGAGGGUGUACCCCCACAUUGGUACUGAGAUACGGACCAGACUCCUACGGGAGGCAGCAGUGAGGAAUAUUGGUCAAUGGAGGCAACUCUGAACCAGCUAUGACGCGUGUAGGAAGACAGCCUUAGGGUUGUAAACUACUUUUGUAUAAGAAUAAAAAAUUUCUUCGGAAAUAUAUUGAAGGUAUUAUACGAAUAAGUAUCGGCAAACUCCGUGCCAGCAGCCGCGGUAAUACGGAGGAUACAAGCGUUAUCCGGAUUUAUUGGGUUUAAAGGGUACGUAGGUGGAAAAAAAAGUCAAUAAUGAAAUUUUAUAACUUAAUUAUAAAAGUGUUAUUGAAACUUUUUUUCUAGAGUAUAAAUGGAGUAAUUGGAAUAUGUGGAGUAGCGGUAAAAUGCUUAGAUAUCACAUAGAACACCAAAAGCGAAGGCAGAUUACUAAUUUAUUACUGACACUGAGGUACGAAAGCGUGGGUAGCAAACAGGAUUAGAUACCCUGGUAGUCCACGCUGUAAACUAUGAUUACUAAUAAUUGGAUAAGAUUAAAUAAUUAUUCAGUUAUCAAGCUAAAGUGAUAAGUAAUCCACCUGGGGAGUACGAUCGCAAGAUUGAAACUCAAAGGAAUUGACGGGGACCCGCACAAGCGGUGGAGCAUGUGGUUUAAUUCGAUAAUACGCGAGGAAUCUUACCAAGGUUUAAAUGUAUUAUGAAUAAUUUAGAAAUAAAUUAGUCUUCGGACAUAAUACAAGGUGCUGCAUGGUUGUCGUCAGCUCGUGCCGUGAGGUGUUAGGUUAAGUCCUUUAACGAGCGCAACCCUUAUUAUUAGUUGCUAACAGGUUAAGCUGAGAUAUCUAAUAAGACAGCUAACGUAAGUUAUGAGGAAGGUGAGGAUGACGUCAAAUCAUCAUGGCUCUUACAUCUUGGGCUACACACGUGCUACAAUGGUUAAUACAGAGAGUUGCAAAUAGGUAACUAAGAGCUAAUCUUCAAAAUUAAUCUCAGUUCAGAUUGAAGUCUGUAACUCGACUUUAUGAAGUAGGAAUCGCUAGUAAUCGCGUAUCAGCAAUGACGCGGUGAAUAUGUUCUCGGGUCUUGUACACACCGCCCGUCAAGCCAUGGAAGUUAAUUUUAUUUAAAGUUAAAAACUUUAAAAAGUUUUAAUUAGGAUAAAAUUAAUGACUAGGGCUAAGUCGUAACAAGGUAGCCGUAUCGGAAGAUGUGGCUGGAAAAUUUCUGUU